ensembl:lncRNA
UCCUUGUAAAAAGAUGUGCCACCGAUUUCUGCAUCCAUUUGUGUUUGUGUUUUGCAGGAGACAUCCUGGAAUUGUUAUUGUGUCAUCCAGCAGGAAGGCACUGGUACAUCUGCCUGCAUGGAGGACACAUCUCUACACUGAGGCACAUCCUAACCAGGGGAGAGAGAUGCUGGGAGAAGCUGUUGCCAAGACGCUGAAGCCAGAAUUGAGAGGACCUGGAAGUGGGCAGUAGAGCACGGGAGAGAUGGAGGCUGAGUGGUCAGCCAGAUGCAACAAGAGAAGCCUGUGGAUCCUGGAGAGCUGCACAAAAUGAGACUGGAGUGAGGGCAGAAAAGAGCAUGGAGGGAAUGGUGGGAUGGAAGAGACGCUGAAACACACCAUGGAGAACAGCAGAGAAUGCAGCCUGAGGGAAAUGGCCUGUGCCCACUCCAGUAUGGACAGCAAAUCCCAAGGAUGCCAACCAAGGAAUUCCCAAGGAAUCCCAACCCUCGUGUAAAAGCAAGCAGUAAUUAUAAUUUCCAUACACACAGGUCACAGAUCAAACAUAAAAUAGCAACUUGUGAAGAUUAUUGAUUUUCUUUUGUGUACCCUUUAAUGAACAGGUAAAAUUCCUUUCUUUUCCAGAUGCCUAAAAUCAAGAGGAUGCAGAAAUGCCAGUUUUGUGGGCUCCUAACUAGGCUUGCAAUGCUGACAUAACACAUGGGGUGGGGAGGGGGGAAAGGAAGAAAGAUUUAAUAGUGAAAAUCCUGUGAAGGCUCUAAGGAGAGGGGAUGCUUUUGAGGUAGUAGCAGUGACACCAGGUGAACUGUAAUAAGUAACUCCCACUGCCAGGAAUGUUGUCCAGCCUUGGCAAGAAUAAUCUCUGCAUUCAAUACAAGAUUCUAUUUGCUUCCUGACUUAAGGACUGAUUGAUAUAUGAACACAUAAAAAUUAGGGUGUUUAAAAAUACAACACUAUUUGAAUUGUUUUGAAUCUUCCUGAUUCACUUGAGCACAGUACACUAACAAAAGACACAGUCUUUGCCUUACAUGCAGACUGGAUUCUUGCUUUGUAGAUAACAAUCUGCCCAGGAGCAGAUGACUGACAAGGAUCUUUUCACUGAAGGAUUGCAUUAAAUAUGGUUGUUUCUGCUCAGAUCCAAUGUAUGUAAAUUAUGCAUGUUAUAUAUGAAACCAUACUACAGUUAUAUAGGAGAAGUGAUUGCUCCCACUGUACAUAUUCUUUGGAGUUGUGUGACACAUGCACAAUCAAGCAUGACACAAGAAAAUUAAUCAAAGAAUAUUUAAAUAUACCUUAGAGAGCCCCUAACUUGUCUGAUGGUUUUACAGAAGAAAAACUAAUUGCAUCUGCACGACACAACAGUUUUCUAAGGGAUGGGUUCAUCAAUGCUUUUACUUUUUUCCUGAUAAACAUUUAAAACAGUUUACUUAAAUUGAUAAAAAAAGAAAAAUCUGAGAUGGCAGAAUGAUUUGUAUACAUUAAGGUUUCUUCCUUUUUAGGUAUUCUUACUUGUUCCUACUGACUUUCUGCAAUAUCAGCAAUGCACAGAAAUUCUUGACCUAUCAAGGUGGCAUCAGAGUGGAUAACAGCAGGCAUUUAUUCUUACAAAGACCUUGCACUUUUUCUAAGACUUAAAGUCAAACUAAUUAUAUAAAAUAAUACACUAAAAUCACUAAAAAUUCUUCUGACAAACAUAAUGAAGUUUGUUAUACUGAACACAUUUGGUUUUACUAAGACUAUGAGGUUUUCAUCUGUAAUGGUAUACACACCCUCUGAAUUCAUUCAUGUAAUUAUAAGAAAUUCUGUAAACUUUCUAGAUUACUGCUGUCUUGGAAAUUCUUAGUGUUCAGAAAUGAGCAUAAAGAACCAAAUAAAUACUUUAUUCUGUCAUGACUUAUCCA